rnacentral:rRNA from 1 species
UUGGAGGGCAAGUCUGGUGCCAGCAGCCGCGGUAAUUCCAGCUCCAAUAGCGUAUAUUAAAGUUGUUGCAGUUAAAAAGCUCGUAGUUGAAUUUCGGGAUCAUCAGGUUGGUCGUGCCUCUGGUAUGUACUUUCCUCGAUGGUUCCUCCUUCUUGAAGAUCCGUAAUGUCAUUAAUUUGGUGUUGCGGGGAAUCAGGACUGUUACUUUGAAAAAAUUAGAGUGUUUAAAGCAGGCAAUCGCUUGAAUACAUUAGCAUGGAAUAAUGAAAUAGGACGUUCGAUCCUAUUUUGUUGGUUUCUAGGAUUGACGUAAUGAUUAAUAGGGAUAGUUGGGGGCAUUAGUAUUCAAUUGUCAGAGGUGAAAUUCUUGGAUUUAUUGAAGACUAACUACUGCGAAAGCAUUUGCCAAGGAUGUUUUCAUUAAUCAAGAACGAAAGUUAGGGGAUCGAAGACGAUCAGAUACCGUCGUAGUCUUAACCAUAAACUAUGCCGACUAGGGAUCGGAUGAUGUUAAUUUUUUAAUGACUCAUUCGGCGCCUUACGGGAAAC